rnacentral:rRNA from 1 species
AUUGAACGCUGGCGGAAUGCUUUACACAUGCAAGUCGAACGGUAGAGGGGGCAACCCCUCGAGAGUGGCGAACGGGUGAGUAAUAUAUCGGAACGUGCCCAGUCGUGGGGGAUAACGUAGCGAAAGUUACGCUAAUACCGCAUAGGAUCUAAGGAUGAAAGCGGGGGAUCGCAAGCACCCGCGCGAUUGGAGCGGCCGAUAUCAGAUUAGGUAGUUGGUGGGGUAAAGGCUCACCAAGCCAACGAUCUGUAGCUGGUCUGAGAGGACGACCAGCCACACUGGAACUGAGACACGGUCCAGACUCCUACGGGAGGCAGCAGUGGGGAAUUUUGGACAAUGGACGCAAGUCUGAUCCAGCCAUUCCGCGUGCAGGAUGAAGGCCCUCGGGUUGUAAACUGCUUUUGUACGGAACGAAAAGGUCUCUCUUAAUACGGGGGGCUCAUGACGGUACCGUAAGAAUAAGCACCGGCUAACUACGUGCCAGCCGCCGCGGUAA